GACGAACGCUGGCGGCGUGCUUAACACAUGCAAGUCGAACGGAAAGGCCCUGCUUUUGUGGGGUGCUCGAGUGGCGAACGGGUGAGUAACACGUGAGUAACCUGCCCUUGACUUUGGGAUAACUUCAGGAAACUGGGGCUCAUACCGGAUAGGAGCUCCUGCUGCAUGGGGGGGGUUGGAAAGUUUCGGCGGUUGGGGAUGGACUCGCGGCUUAUCAGCUUGUUGGUGGGGUAGUGGCUUACCAAGGCUUUGACGGGUAGCCGGCCUGGGAGGGUGACCGGCGACAUUGGGACUGAGAUACGGCCCAGACUCCUACGGGAGGCAGCAGUGGGGAAUAUUGCACAAUGGGCGGAAGCCUGAUGCAGCAACGCCGCGUGCGGGAUGACGGCCUUCGGGUUGUAAACCGCUUUCGCCUGUGACGAAGCGUGAGUGACGGUAAUGGGUAAAGAAGCACCGGCUAACUACGUG
rnacentral:rRNA from 1 species